AGGGAACUUCUCAGAGAUUUUGUCGAGAGGAUUUCUAUGCUGAGGGGAAGUUGGUCUAAGGAGCUAUUCUUUCACUCUUGGUGGUUAUCUAAUGCUGACAGCACAGAGAUUAAAUCCAAUCCUGAAACAUACAGCACAGCAAAACACACCCUGGCUGCCUUUGUUUUGGGAAAACACAGAACCCAAGGUUGCCAUGGUAGGGACAGAGUCAGUGGACAUCAGGUGACUAAAAGGUCAGCGUUGGCCUUUAGUGGUCUGUUUACUUAUGUUUUGGGUACUCUGUACAACACCUCCCUUGGCGGGUAGGCACAGAGCCCAGGAAUUAGACGUGUGGCUAGGCUAGUUUUUGGCUUUCUGAAUAGGCUGCUGAUGGCAUCUCUUUAGGGAAGUAGAUCUGUCCCUGACCUCUCCUAGUCCAAAGAGUGAAGGAAGCUCCUGUGAAAAACUCAAGUGGCAAGACCAAAGUCAGGACAACUAGUGAUGAUUGAAGAGGUUAAGAGAAAAUUGAGCUGAACCUUGAAGAAAGCUAUGGAUUCCUGUAGAGGAUCAAAUGUAAACUCUACUGUUUGGCUUCUAAAGUCCUUCACAAAGCAAGUCUCCAAGACCAUCAAGGACUCAUGAUGAAAAUGUUCUCUACCACCAAAGAAGGAAUUGUUGGAAUCUGAGUGUAGAUUAAAGCAUGCCAUUUUCCUCUUUAUUUCCUUCAUGAAAUUUCUAUUGCAUGUAUAAUAGAUGUCUUCUAUCAUAACAUGAGGAAAAUGGAAAUAUGUAUUGCAUGAAAGUAUGGGUAUAACCUCUAUCAGUCUAUUUACUGUCCUAGAAAGGGUAGGGAAGGGUAGGGAAGGAGAAAAUCAGAAUUUCAAAAUGUCAGAAAACACUUAUCAAAAAUUGUUUCUACCUGUAACAGAAAAAAAUAAAAAGAAUAUUGGAGAAAAAUAAAGUCCUUUACAAA